rnacentral:rRNA from 1 species
AGAGCGAACGCUGGCGGCAGGCCUAACACAUGCAAGUCGAACGAACCUUCGGGUGAGUGGCGGACGGGUGAGUAACACGUGGGAACGUACCUUUAGGUUCGGAACAACACAGGGAAACUUGUGCUAAUACCGAAUGUGCCCUUCGGGGGAAAGAUUUAUCGCUGAAGGAUCGGCCCGCGUCUGAUUAGCUAGUUGGUGAGGUAACGGCUCACCAAGGCUACGAUCAGUAGCUGGUCUGAGAGGAUGAUCAGCCUCACUGGGACUGAGACACGGCCCAGACUCCUACGGGAGGCAGCAGUGGGGAAUAUUGGACAAUGGGCGCAAGCCUGAUCCAGCCAUGCCGCGUGGGUGAUGAAGGCCCUAGGGUUGUAAAGCCCUUUCGGCGGGGAAGAUAAUGACGGUACCGCAGAAGAAGCCCCGGCUAACUUCGUGCCAGCAGCCGC